rnacentral:rRNA from 1 species
GACGAACGCUGGCGGCGUGCCUAAUACAUGCAAGUCGAACGCACUCUCGUUUAGAUUGAAGGAGCUUGCUCCUGAUUGAUAAACAUUUGAGUGAGUGGCGGACGGGUGAGUAACACGUGGGUAACCUGCCCUAAAGUGGGGGAUAACAUUUGGAAACAGAUGCUAAUACCGCAUAAAACCUAAACACCGCAUGGUGUAGGGUUGAAAGAUGGUUUCGGCUAUCACUUUAGGAUGGACCCGCGGUGCAUUAGUUAGUUGGUGAGGUAAAGGCUCACCAAGACCGUGAUGCAUAGCCGACCUGAGAGGGUACUCGGCCACACUGGGACUGAGACACGGCCCAGACUCCUACGGGAGGCAGCAGUAGGGAAUCUUCCACAAUGGACGAAAGUCUGAUGGAGCAACGCCGCGUGAGUGAAGAAGGUUUUCGGAUCGUAAAACUCUGUUGUUGGAGAAGAAUGUAUCUGAUAGUAACUGAUCAGGUAGUGACGGUAUCCAACCAGAAAGCCACGG